CGCUACUUGCCGUUAUUAGUUAAAACCAAAUGCUGCAGCGCGGUUAGUGUUUCAGUAAGGUGAUUCUAGAUAACUUGGCAGAUUGCAUAGCCUUGAGCUGGCAAUAUUUCGAUUGAAUUUCCGCCCUAUCAACUGUUGAUGGUAAGGUAGUGGCUUACCAUGGUUGCAACGGGUAACGGGGAAUCAGGGUUCGAUUCCGGAGAGGGAGCCUGAGAAACGGCUACCACAUCCAAGGGAGGCAGCAGGCGCGCAAAUUACCCAAUCCAGACAAUGGGAGGUGGUAACGAGAAGUACUGGGUGGUAGACAAUGUCUGCUAAUCUCAGAAUGAGCAUAAAGUAAACAUGUAGUCGAGUAACGACUGGAGGGCAAGUCUGGUGCCAGCAGCCGCGGUAAUUCCAGCUCCAGUAGCAUGUCGUAAAGUUGUUGCGUUUAAAACGCUCGUAGUCGGAUCAUGGAGUAUCGAUGAGUUGGUCUGCGUGUGGGGGCAAUAAAACUGUAUCCGCUAGUUUGCCGUCAUUAAUUUGAUGGUGGCUGGUGGAUAGAGCGCUAUCUACGUAGACUUGUUGCUCAUCGGUACUAUUUGCAUGUAAGAAUAAUGGUUGGCCUUUAGUGCGUUGGCCAUUGUGUCUUACAGAGUGUGCCUUGAAUAAAUCAUAGUGCUUAAAGCACGCUUUUGCCUGAAUGAUAUAGCAUGGAACGAACAAACGUGUACGUGAUGAUAGGGAGGGUCGCAAGACUUGAACUACAUCAUAUCACCAACCACCAYGUACGGAUGUUGGUUUCCGUAUUG
rnacentral:rRNA from 1 species